CAAUAGCGUAUAUUAAAGUUGUUGCAGUUAAAAAGCUCGUAGUUGAAUUUCUGGUGGGCGCGCCGGUCUUCCAAGUGUUGUACUGGGCGCAGUCCGCCAUCCUUGUGGAGAGGGCUCGCAUUGAGUUGCGUGUCGGAUCUGCAUCAUUUACUGUGAAAAAAUUAGAGUGUUUAAAGCAGGCUGUCGCUUGAAUACAUUAGCAUGGAAUAAUAAGAUAGGACUUCGGUCUAUUUUGUUGGUUGCGAACCGAGGUAAUGAUUAAUAGGGAUAGUUGGGGGUAUUCAUAUUUAAUUGUCAGAGGUGAAAUUCUUGGAUUUAUGAAAGAUGAGCAACUGCGAAAGCAUUUACCAAGGAUGUUUUCAUUAA
rnacentral:rRNA from 1 species